rnacentral:rRNA from 1 species
UACGUAGGGACCAAGCGUUGUUCGGAUUUACUGGGCGUAAAGGGCGCGUAGGCGGCGUGACAAGUCACUUGUGAAAUCUCCGGGCUUAACUCGGAACGGCCAAGUGAAACUGUCAUGCUAGAGUGCAGAAGGGGCAAUCGGAAUUCUUGGUGUAGCGGUGAAAUACGUAGAUAUCAAGAGGAACACCUGAGGUGAAGACGGGUUGCUGGGCUGACACUGACGCUGAUGCGCGAAAGCCAGGGGAGCAAACGGG